CUUUCCAGAGAUGGAUUGGUGCCCGAAAGGGAGCCUGGACACAGGUGCUGCAUGGCUGUCGUCAGCUCGUGUCGUGAGAUGUUGGGUUAAGUCCCGCAACGAGCGCAACCCUUGUCAUUAAUUGCCAUCAUUCAGUUGGGCACUUUAAUGAGACUGCCGGUGACAAACCGGAGGAAGGUGGGGAUGACGUCAAGUCCUCAUGGCCCUUAUGGGUAGGGCUUCACACGUCAUACAAUGGUCGGUACAGAGGGUUGCCAAGCCGCGAGGUGGAGCCAAUCCCAGAAAGCCGAUCGUAGUCCGGAUCGCAGUCUGCAACUCGACUGCGUGAAGUCGGAAUCGCUAGUAAUCGCGGAUCAGCAUGUCGCGGUGAAUACGUUCCCGGGUCUUGUACACACCGCCCGUCACACCAUGGGAGUGGGUUCUACCAGAAGUAGUUAGCCUAACCGUAAGGAGGGCGAUUACCACGGUAGGAUUCAUGACUGGGGUGAAGUCGUAACAAG
rnacentral:rRNA from 1 species